rnacentral:lncRNA from 1 species
CCUCACACAUUUGCAAACAUACUAUUAAACUUUAAUUUUAACAAUUUAUUAUACUUUCUAAACUUUCUCAGAUAAUUUAAUAGGUCAUCUCUUACUAAUUAAAAUUUUCAUGUAUUUAAUUACUGUAGCAAACUCUAUGCAUAAAUAAUAUUUUUUCAAAAUUUAAGUUAUCAAAGAAUGGUAUAUUUAAUACGAUGUUUUUAGUAUUUAUAUUCAACACUUCCACUUAUGUUGGACUCGAGACUGUGAGACCGUUUGAAAGACACAAGACACAAACUUGAAAUAAAUGAGAAAAAAUUAAAUCACACUAGGAGUAUGAUGGGACUCGAACAUAGAAUUUUUUGUUCUGAUACCAUGUUAAAUUAUGUAAAACAAUUCUUUUUCACUAAAAGUUUAAGCUAUUAGAUAACUAUAUUUUUAAUAUUUAUAUUCAACAAAAAGCAAAUGUAAAUAGAGAUAUUUGAAUCCCAAUAUGUAUUUGAAGGGAAACCGAAUUCAAAUUCAAAUUCAAAUCUAAAAAAAUAUAAAUUUACUAUCGAAUUCAAAUCCUAAUUGAAUCAAAUAGCCAAUUUCAAUAUGCGAAUUCGACUCUCAUCGAAUUCAGCUUCAAAUUCGAUCGAGUAAUAUCUGAACCGUUUCACUCAAAAAUAAGUGUCCAUAUCUUGUAGUCACAACAUCUUAAUAACCAUUUUCUAAAGAUUAAUUGGAUUGUUGACUUAAAAGUAAAUUGGAAUAAAGCGCAUUCAACUUCUAUUCACUUCAUUCAUAAAGCAGGUAGCACACUAUUCACUUCAUUCAUAAAGAAAAUGAAUUAGGCUACAAGAAUAAGACAGCUGAGGCCUCAAGAGGGGGAGAGAGAAGCCAAUUAAUACGGCUUUCGAAUAAAUCUGUAACAAUCCAGCCCACUAGCAAUAAUAACUCGUUGGGCCCAACCUCCGGCCCAAAAUGCUUAAGCCCAGUUAUUAUUAUUAGUAUCUAAGUCUUUUAUGUACCCAAUCACAUUCACAUUCCUAUCCGAUGUGGGAUUAUUGUCUCUUAUAUACCCAAUCACAUUCUCAUUCCUAUCCGAUGUGGGAUUAUUUGUCAUCCAGACCCUGGUACCCUGGUAUACCAGGGUCACCUUGUCAUUCAGACUCCGCCAUAACCCAUCACCUUGUCUUUCAGACCUUGGCUCAGCCGAGACUCGCCACUCG